rnacentral:misc_RNA from 1 species
UUUCCGUAGGUGAACCUGCGGAAGGAUCAUUACAGUAGUCACCCAGGUUGCCGCAAGGCCUCCUGGGUAACCUACCACCCUUUGUUUAUUACACUUUGUUGCUUCGGCAAGCCUGCCCUCGGGCUGCUGGCUCCGGCCGGCGAGCGCUUGCCAGAGGACCUAAACUCUGUUUGUCUAUACUGUCUGAGUACUAUAUAAUAGUUAAAACUUUCAACAACGGAUCUCUUGGUUCUG